UCAGCGGCGGACGGGUGAGUAAUGCCUAGGAAUCUGCCUGGUAGUGGGGGACAACGUUUCGAAAGGAACGCUAAUACCGCAUACGUCCUACGGGAGAAAGCAGGGGACCUUCGGGCCUUGCGCUAUCAGAUGAGCCUAGGUCGGAUUAGCUAGUUGGUGAGGUAAUGGCUCACCAAGGCUACGAUCCGUAACUGGUCUGAGAGGAUGAUCAGUCACACUGGAACUGAGACACGGUCCAGACUCCUACGGGAGGCAGCAGUGGGGAAUAUUGGACAAUGGGCGAAAGCCUGAUCCAGCCAUGCCGCGUGUGUGAAGAAGGCCUUUUGGUUGUAAAGCACUUUAAGCGAGGAGGAGGCUACUUAGAUUAAUACUCUAGGAUAGUGGACGUUACUCGCAGAAUAAGCACCGGCUAACUCUGUGCCAGCAGCCGCGGUAAUACAGAGGGUGCGAGCGUUAAUCGGAUUUACUGGGCGUAAAGCGUGCGUAGGCGGCUUUUUAAGUCGGAUGUGAAAUCCCUGAGCUUAACUUAGGAAUUGCAUUCGAUACUGGGAAGCUAGAGUAUGGGAGAGGAUGGUAGAAUUCCAGGUGUAGCGGUGAAAUGCGUAGAGAUCUGGAGGAAUACCGAUGGCGAAGGCAGCCAUCUGGCCUAAUACUGACGCUGAGGUACGAAAGCAUGGGGAGCAAACAGGAUUAGAUACCCUGGUAGUCCAUGCCGUAAACGAUGUCUACUAGCCGUUGGGGCCUUUGAGGCUUUAGUGGCGCAGCUAACGCGAUAAGUAGACCGCCUGGGGAGUACGGUCGCAAGACUAAAACUCAAAUGAAUUGACGGGGGCCCGCACAAGCGGUGGAGCAUGUGGUUUAAUUCGAUGCAACGCGAAGAACCUUACCUGGCCUUGACAUGUCUGGAAUCCUGUAGAGAUACGGGAGUGCCUUCGGGAAUCAGAACACAGGUGCUGCAUGGCUGUCGUCAGCUCGUGUCGUGAGAUGUUGGGUUAAGUCCCGCAACGAGCGCAACCC
rnacentral:rRNA from 1 species